UAGUAGCGGCGAGCGAACAGGGAAAAGCCCAGCACUGAAUCGCGCGUCCACUGGGGCGCUGCGAAAUGUAGUGUUUGGGAGGAUCCAUUAUUCCGUGGUUUGGUGGUGAGUCCAAGUCCUCCUUGAACGGGGCCACUUACCCAUAGAGGGUGCCAGGCCCGUAGUGACCAUUGCCGGCUGCGGAAGGAUCUCUCCUUAGAGUCGGGUUGCUUGAAAGUGCAGCCCUAAGUAGGUGGUAAACUCCAUCUAAGGCUAAAUAUAACCACGAGACCGAUAGCGAACAAGUACCGUGAGGGAAAGUUGAAAAGCACUUUGAAGAGAGAGUUCAAUAGUACGUGAAACCGUUUAGGGGUAAACUUGAGAAGCCCGAAAGUUCGACAGAGGAGAUUCAGCGUGUCUCUGCGUAGGCGAGUGCCGCUUGGCAGACGGUUGUCGUUCGCGACAGUCGCUCCUUGCGUUUGCGCCGCAGUGCGUCGAGCGCGUGCACUUCUCCUCCAGUAGGACGUCGCAACCCGUUGGGUGUCGGUSUGCGGCUUGCGGUGGAGCUUGUACGUCGGUUUCGGCCGUGCGUGCAAACCCGCGAUGUCCCGGCCGGCUGCUCGACGGUAGAUAUAGAAAGGCACAGAGCGCGACUUGCUCGCGUUUGGCCCAAUGCAAGCGCGUCCGGUUAUUCGUCCAUCGGACUUGUGCCGAUCUCGAAGCCGGUCGGCUGUUUGUGUUGGUGUUCCCAAACAGACUCUGUCGCCUGUUGGCGGCGCUAUAGCUUUGGGUACUUUCAAGGCCCGUCUUGAAACACGGACCAAGGAGUCUAGCAUGUGCGCGAGUCACUGGGACUAUCGAAUCCUAAAGGCGUAAUGAAAGUGAAUGUAAAGCUUGCUUUGCAUAGGGAAGAUGGGUAGCGAAAGUUGCCUCGCACUCCCGGGACGUCUCGUUCUCAUUGCGAGAAGAGGCGUACCUAGAGCGUACAUGCUGGGA
rnacentral:rRNA from 1 species